rnacentral:rRNA from 1 species
AUUGAACGCUGGCGGCAUGCCUUACACAUGCAAGUCGAACGGCAGCACGGGAGCAAUCCUGGUGGCGAGUGGCGAACGGGUGAGUAAUUUAUCGGAACGUGCCCAGUAGUGGGGGAUAACUGCUCGAAAGAGCAGCUAAUACCGCAUACGACCUGAGGGUGAAAGGGGGGGAUCGCAAGACCUCUCGCUAUUGGAGCGGCCGAUAUCAGAUUAGCUAGUUGGUGGGGUAAAGGCCUACCAAGGCAACGAUCUGUAGUUGGUCUGAGAGGACGACCAGCCACAGUGUGACUGAGACACGGCCCAGACUCCUGCGGGAGGCAGCAGUGGGGAAUUUUGGACAAUGGGCGCAAGCCUGAUCCAGCAAUGCCGCGUGCAGGAAGAAGGCCUUCGGGUUGUAAACUGCUUUUGUCAGGGAAGAAAUCCUCUAGGUUAAUACCCUCGGGGGGAUGACGGUACCUGAAGAAUAAGCACCGGCUAACUACGUGCCAGCCGCCGCAGUAACAC